GCAGAAUAAUUAACUUAAUUAACAAAUUCACAUGCAUAUUCAUCAGGCUAUUAAUGUCUUCUCGGCUCAGCUUGAUGAACAUUGCGGUAAUAACCAUCUCAUUUACAUACUGCAUUCUACUGCGAUCCAAAACAGAGACAACAUACAGGCGUAUACACACACACACACGCACACACGCACACACACUCGUGCAUGGAUACACACAACAUGCCUGUGCUGCUUUGACUUCCAGGUUGGCUGGGAGUGUGUGUGUGUGUGUGUGUGUGUGUGUGUGGUGUGUGUGUGUGAUGUGUGUGUGUGGUACCAGGUGGGUGGGAACCCCCAACUGGGUGAUGUGAUCUUUAGAGGGUCAUGAGUGAGAUGGGCUAGGGAUGCCCACAUUAGAAUGUCUGGGAGAACUUUCAUUCUCUUUCUCUCUCUCUCUCUCCUUGUCUCACUCUGCCUCUUUUUCCUUAUUUCCUUUUCUCUGUGUCAUUUCUUCUCUGCCCCCCACCCCCCCAAACAUGUCUCUCUAGGGAAAAACUUGGUAUCCGUGCCAACUUUUUCUCCCUCCCCUCCUCCCUCAUCUCUCCUCCUUCCCCUCUCCCAACUGCUGCCAGCCGGCAUCAGCGCCGAAUUGCCAUCUCCUUGAGCUCUCUGUGGAGCAAUCUCAGAGAGCAGUAAGGUGUGACGCGGGGCUCUGCCGGCUUCGCAGCACCGCCUGCGGAAAAAGCGCAGGAUGGCGGAGGAAGAUUAAGAGAAAUCUCGAGCAGGGCUCGGCUGCCAUUGGUGUGUGCAAACGCCGAGGAGGAAGGGAGAGGGAGAGCGAGGAGGGGGGCCAGAAAGCGGGGGGACCAGCAGCUGUCGGCCUAAUUCUUCUAACACUCUGCUUGUGGUCAUAUUAGAAAAACAGAUUAUGCCCCUUGGUGCCACUCACUUAUACUUGACAUACGUUAAUGUUCUCUGUCUCCCGUUCUCCGGUCUUAGCAACAGUGGACUUAAGGUAGAGAAAGAUGGGGGCCUGAGUGUCCUGGGGCCCAAAAGACCCUGCCCUUUCAUUCUCUCCUGACUUCCAACCCCAGACUGUUCUUGCCCUUUAGAGAGCAAGCCUGGGCCCAGAAUUUGCAUCUAAUGCCACCAUUUGCUCCUGCUUUUUGAGCUGCAGAGGUUCAGAGGAAGCCCUUCGGCCUAGAAGUCACUCCCUACUCAGAGUCUUAAUAGGUCACUUUGGGGCCAAAUGAGACCAGCUCUGUAGCACCUUCACUCCUAACCUUUCAAUGGGCCCUCCCCCUCAAAUCAGAAGCUGGGUUCAGAGAAAAGGGUCCAUAAUAGUGCUCCAUGAGGAAGUUACAGAGAAGCCAUAAGCCAUACAAGGCCAGGAUUGUUUCUGGGUAGCUAUGGAAACCAGGUUCCCUCCUCCUGGCAGGAAGCAAGCAGUGCUUCCGCCUUGCACCAAUCCUGAAGGCUGUAAAGGCUAGUUUGCUUAAGUCUGGGGAAUAGGGCUGUUUUUGGAGGACCAACCAACCAUUCCCCAUAGCCCUGCCUGCAGGUUCAUAGCCCUUUGACCCCCACCUUCCCUACCCUCACUCCAGUAUUCAGUCGAAGGCGGCUUUUUCCUUUCGGUGCCUUGUCCUCUGUGGAAACCUGUUGCUUAGCAACCACUAGUGCCUUCUUCCUAAUAACUUGCAGGGACUGAGAGAUAAAAUAUCUGUCUCUAUUCAGUUCCCCUUCCCUGCCUAUUUUAUUUAAUAACUCAAGCACUGUCUUGUGUUCCAUUGACACCUGUUUUAGAGGGAUUAAGCUGCAGCCUGAAGACAUAAAGUUACACCUGAGGAAGAACUUCUGAACAGGGAAGAGUGGGAGGACAGGAGUAAGUAGGGGAGCCAUGGAAUCAUAUUCUCUUAAGUAUAGGCAGAAAAGAAAAAAAUGUCUUUAAAAUUUGGAAUGUGGGGAGGGGACAUCCACAGGGAUUCCAUAGGUCCACUUGGGACCUGAAUGGACGUAACAAGGCUGCUUCCUGAGCUGGCAUUUUCCACUCCCACAUCUGGCCAUGCCCCUCCUUCCUAACCACUUCCUGUCUAGAGCCCUCUGAUAGGUUUAUAUGUGGGAGGCCCAUCCCUUGGGAUAUCCAGUUUCCUAGUGUCUAGAUUUUGGUAUCCAGGGGGAUGCACUUUGUCAAUGUAUGUCCGACAAGGCCUGGGUAUCUCCCAGAGUUUUGUAGUCACUGGGAAGGAUUUCUGAACUCUCUACUAGAAAACUCCAGAUCUUAUCUGGCAGUGGGGACUGCACAAUAUCUCCCAAAAUGAGGAGCAGGGAAGGCCUUAGGGUAGCCUAGUAGCUGCAUGUAGAGUCAGGAGACCUGUGUUUGGGCCCCCUUUCCUUACUGUCCUUUGGUCCAUGGUAUCCACUUAAUCCUUCAAAUCCCUUGUCACUUCAUCUGUAGAUCAAGAAUAAUCAUGGACUUUAGCAGGAUCAUUAAAGUACUAUGUGAAAGGAAACACUCCGAAAACCAUUCAAUUUGACCUAAAUAUUAUUUUAAAAUCUGGAAAAGGUCUGACUGCCGGGGAAAAGGAGACAUUAUGGAUCCAGCCUGAUCCUGGGCUUAAGAAUGUCAUUUCUUGGCCAGAGGGUGUGAUUCUUUGCCCUCUGAUUGGUAGGGUGGGGAGCUAUAAGUCAAAAUGAAACACAAAGCUGUCUAGGGAGAGUAGCAGACAGUGUUCCUAUUAUCUUUCCCACUCCAGUCCCAACCUCUGACCUUUAGUUCUCCAUGCCAACACUCCCAAACUUACCCUCCACCCCUCUCCCCAGUCAGCACCUUCACUGCUGUGGUGCUAGCUCACACACUGUACAAUUUCACCCUCCAUACCCCCCUUCUCAGCACGUCCUCCAACCCGAGCCUUCUGUGGGAGACAGAUGGGGUGUCUGCGAUGGAAAAGGCUCUGGGCUCUACGCCGCCUUGGGUGGGCAUCCCCCCUCCCCAUCUCUCUGCUACUCCCUCUCCCUACCUAAGGUACUCAGAGUCACCCUGGGCAGCUUUGGAAGCUACUGAUGAUUUCCAGAUCUCUUCCCUUCUCAGACUCAGCCCCAGCAGCAGAGCCAGAAUGGCAUCUUUCUCUGAGACCUAGACCCCAGGCCCCGUUCUUGGAAAACCAGUGCAAAGGAGGAAGUAGGUUAAGAAAUGGUAGGGUGCCAUGUGAAGGGACUAAUGUGGAUAGGGAGGGGCCCAGAGUUCCUCACUGAGGACUGGAUGGCAGGGGUUUGGGUUCUGAGUUGACAGUGGAGGCUGAGCCUAAGCAGCUCCUUUGUUCCAGAAAUCUGGGGUCCCUGGAGGGAGGCUCAGCUUGGGGAGGGGGAAAGCAUUACAAAGCACCAACUGCGAACCAGGCACGAUGCCAGAGCCUUUCCAUACCUGUAUUCACAACUAGCAGGUGAGGAGUCAGGGUGAAUAGGUGUCUUAAGAGCUCUCAGCAUCUCUCAGUACAGUUGACCACCACCUCCUUUGAUUCUAUGAUGUCACUGCCAAUUCUCCUACUAUGCUGGUUGCUCUUUCUCUGUCUCCUUUGCAAACUCAUCCUCAACUCCUUAGACUCAGCCAAGUCCCCUGAUUAUACACAUUCAUGGUACUAUACAUCCUCCUUUCAGAGCACUUAGCACAGUUAUUUCACACUUAUUCAUACAAUCAUUUGAAUAAUUAUCCUAUUUCCCCCACCAGAUGGAAAGUUCCACAAGGAUGGUGACCGAGUUUGUCUGUAUUCACCAGUGUGCUCCCAGUGCCCAGUACUGUGCCUAACCUAAAGCAGCUCUUUGGGAAAGCCUCUUUCAGCAGCUCUCCUCCCAACCUCCCUGAAGUCCAGCCCACUCCCCAGAAGCAGUGUAGGCUCUGCUGGGACUGAACACGUGGCCCAGAAAAUGUUCCUUCAAAUUCACAAUGCUGGUAGAGAAGAGCACUGAAUGAAGAGCCAGAGGCCCAUAUCCUCCGCUGCUCUGCCUCACCCUGUGGCCCAGAUCUCAGAAUACAUAGGAAAAAGCAGGAAGAGAGAAGAGGUCACUUGAAGGUUGGAAGUAGGGGCUCCAGUCUCAGGCAGAAGACUGGGGGGCUUGGUUCUCUCCUUUGAUUCAAAUGAAUCUUUUCCCUGCUCCCACCUCUCACCCCCAGAGACAGCCAGAGCUUUGCUUAGUUAAUGAAAUACAAAAGAAGGAACAGGGCGGGGGUGGGGGUGUGGAGGGAGGCUCCAGAGCACUCAGAGGAAGGGAGAGGAAAAGUUGGGUCUCUUCCAAAGAGUUAAUGUUCCACAGUAUGAUCGAUUAGGUGUCAGAUGUAAUUUCAAACCAAUACAAGAUGAAUGGCAUAAUUUUCCCUCUCUCAUUUUAGACAGAAUUAAGAAUCCAUUAGCUAACACAAAUUUUUGGCAAGUUUAAUAGGAGCUCAAAACUACAUUCAGAGGAAACACUCCCCAAAGCCUAUUUCAAGCUUUUACUCCUCAGGCCCAUGGCCUCCACGGUCCUCCUGACCCUCACAAGCCCUCUGUUGUCUGUCCUCCCCCAGGUAGCCCCCUCACCCUUCCCCUGGUCCCUGUAUGUGCCCCUCCUCAGCCCAGCCAGAGAUUAACUGGCUUGACCCCUCUCACAAAGGCCUGGCCUGCCCACCAUUGUCUUCCAGUGGCACUGGUUCUGGGGGAAGGGGCGGAGGGGCUGGCAGUGAGCCCAGGAAGAGGGGAGCCUGCUGAAUUGGCCCCAGGCUCCAGACAAACCCAAGGGAGACGGGUGAAUUGGGACUUUGGAGCCAUUUGAAUCUCAACUACUACUCAAUUUCACCCCCAGAAAAGUUCUGGUUUUUAUCCUAGAGAAAGCGUUACCCAGUUCAUAAGGGGUCAAAUCCCAUUCUUACUUUUACAUUUACAUAUAUUAAUCCAUACAGUAAACUAGAGAGAUGGGAAGAAUAGCUAUCAUCCCAUUUUUUAGAUGAGGAAACUGAGGCUCAGGGGGGUUGAUUAGAAUCAGCUGGGUCCAAGGGUAGACCAUGGCUCUGCUACUUGUUAACUUACUAGGCAUAAGGCAUUACCUCUGGACCUCAAUUUCCUUAUCUGUAAAAUGGGGAAAAUGUUAGUAUCAAGCUCAUAAGAUUAUUCUAAGGGACAAAUGAGAAGUGCCUGAUAAAGGAGAGUCCAUUCAGGCAGAGGUACCAAGCAGCCACUCUGUGGCCUUGUAAAUCAGCUCCAGCCCCUACCCUCUGAGCUCACAGCCUGGUUGGAAUUGACAAACAUGUAGACGGAGCCCUGCCCUGAAAGGCAAGAGAGGCUGGAAUAAUAAUUAUAGCAGCUUACCUUACUGGGCACUUGCUCUCUGCCCAGUGUGGGAGCAAAUUCUUUCAUACAGUAGCUCAUUUACUCCUCCUCCCUUAUCAGAUAUAUACUAUUAUUAUAGUAUUAUCCCACUUUCCAGAUCAGGAAACAAGCACAGACAGGGGAAGUAACUUGUCUGAGGUCACCCAGCUAGAAAGUGGCAGAGCUAGAAUUCCAACCCAGGCAACCGUGGUCCUAAGGUUAAACUCUUAGGUUCAUUAGCUCUCAGCCCAAUGAUAAGCAGAGGUACAAGCUGGGACAGUGGAGCUCCAGGAUGUGACUGACUCUGUUCAGGGGUCUGGGAAGGCUUCACAGAGAAGAGGUUUACAUUAGGUCUUAACUGAUGAGUAGAAGUUUACCAGAUGGGUAAGGAGAGAAAGAGCAUCCUAGGCAGGAGAAUAGUACAAAGUCACCAAAAGAAGUCUUAGCAUGGGAGACGGUGAGUACUACCCCAUGCUCUGCGACCAAAACAGGGUUCAUGUGGAGGAUGGCAGGAAACAAGUUUGGAUGAGGAGGCCAAGGGUUCAGCCCAACAACUGUGCUCUAAAAAUUGGGAAGGCUGUCCUGUUGUCUAACUCCUAUAGACAGCCUUGCAAUGCCAUGCUCAGAAAUUAAGAUUUUUUCAUGUUGUCAUAAUAAUAGGUAGAGCUAGCAUCUUACAUGUGCUAAAUGCUUCAUAUUGAUUGCCUUGUUUCUUCAUUGCAAUAACCACACAAAGCAGGUACUAUUGUCCUAUUUUUCAGAUAAAUAAACUGAGGCUCAGGGAUAUUAAGUACCUUGCCUAAGAGACACAACUAGAAAGUAACAGAGAUGAGCAUCCAACCCAGGUCUGACUCCAGAGCCCAAAUUCUUUCUAUGCUUGCUAUAUCCUAGUAGGCACUGUGGAACUUUGGAAGAAUUUUAUGCAGGCAGUGAUGGGCUUGGACUGAGUUUAAGGAAAAGAAUUUUGGCAGAGUGUGGAGGUCGGACUGGAGCAGAGUAAGCCUGGAGGCAGGGAAGCCGGUAAAGAAACCACUGCUGUGGUCCAGAUGAAAGUUCCAUAUGGAGACCGAUGGGGGAAAGGCCCUCACUCAUAUAUAGGGAUGAAAGAUAGGGACUCCUAGAGCCUGAGUAAUAAUAAUUAUGAAGAUAUUAUCAAGUGCCUACCCCAUACUUCAUCGCAUGAGCCAUUUCCAAUUCAUACAAUGCUAUGGGGCAGAUAUUGUUAGCCCCUUUUACAGAAGAGAAAGCUGAGGCUUAGAGAGGUUGAUUAACUUCUCUGAAACACACAACUGGGGUCUGCAGAGCUGUAACUUGCCAGAAGCCCUAGCGUUCCCUCCCACCUCAUUUCCAGAGAUGGCUGGCCACCUAUCAGAGGUCAGAGGUCUUCCCUCUUGACAUGGCUUAAUAUUCCCUGCGAUACAUAGGGUCCUGGCCCCUAUGGAGAAUGUCAGUGAAAGUAUGUCAAAUAAGAGAUCAAGCCUGCCCCAGAUGCUCCUGCCUUUGCCUCCCUUAGGGCUGGGUGAGUGACCUUGAGAUGAGAGAAGUGAAAAAGGGGAUGAGGUGGAGGGAGGGGAAGAGAGUGGAGAGGGUUAAGCUCUGGAGCUGUGAGGGGAGAACCAGUGAAACUUGAAUUUUCAUCCUGAUUAGCCACUGUUGUUUAUCUGCAAAAUGGGAUAAUAAUAUCUACUCCCCAAGAUGAUUGUAAAGAUUAAAUAAAAUAAUGUGUAUAAACCUGCACUGUCCAGUUGGAAGCCUCUAGCCACAUAUUGCUAUUUCAAUUUAAAUUAAUGAACAUUAAAUAAAGUUUAAAAAUUCAUUUAUUCAGCCACACUUAGCCAUAUUUCAAAUGCUUAAUAACCGCAUAUUGGCUAGUGACUACCAUAUUGAACAGAACAGAAAUAGAACAUUUCCAUCAUGGCAGAACGUUGUCUAAAGCACUGGACCCAGGGCCUGGCCCAUGUUGUGUGCACAGUCAGUGGAUGCCAUUCUUGGAGGACUCAGGUGGUGAGACUGAUUAUUCUUCCAACAGCCUGCCAAAGACCAUCCAUCUGACAUUCUCCAGGGUUGAAUCUGAAAACUAAGAGUUGGGAAGAGUCAGGGCCAGGUCAGGCACAAGGAUAGAAGGAAGAGAGACAAGUCUACAGGCUAAGAAGUUCGUUUAAGGAUUGCCCAGGAGGUGGAGGUGAGUGGAAUGUGUAUCUGGGGCAGGAAAGAAAAGAAAACCAAGAGAAAAAGGGGAGAAGAGAGGGAAAUCCAGGCACCUAUGAGCUGGAACCCACAAUGGGUCUUCAUUGCCUGCCCCAAGAGAAUGGAUGCUAAUUUUAAGAUACUUGCUCUCAAUACCUUUAUUUCCAAGUUCAUUCAUUCAUUUAUUCAUGCAACAUUUGUUUAUUGAGCAACUAUGUACCUGGUCCUGCCUAGGUGCUGGGAGUGCUACUAUGAAGUCCCCACCCACAGGGAGCUUCUGUAUGCAUGUAGGGUGAGGAAACAAGACAAUGAACAUAAUAAAUGUUUAAUAUACAUAGUAUAUUAGAUGAUGAUAUGUACUAAAGAGAAAAAUUCAGUAAGGAGAGGGAAAGGAGGUACAGUUUUGGAUGGGGUAGCCAGGAAACACUUCUUAGAGAAAGUGAUGUUUUAUUUUGGUUGCCCAGAGGCUGAGGGGUUUGGGGGAAAAUGAGUGAAUGCUAAUGGGCUUGGGGUGGUCAAAAUGUUAUUUUGGGGGUGGUGAAAAUGUUAAAAAUGGAUUGUCGUGAUGGUCACACAACUCUUACGAAUAUACUAAGAAACAUUGAAUUGUAUACUUUAAAUAAAUGAAUUAUAACUUAA